rnacentral:rRNA from 1 species
UACGGAGGGUGCAAGCGUUAAUCGGAAUUACUGGGCGUAAAGCGUGCGCAGGCGGUUUGUUAAGUCCGCUGUGAAAUCCCCGAGCUCAAACUUGGGAAUUGCAGUGGAUACUGGCAAGCUGGAGUAUGGUAGAGGAAGGUGGAAUUCCCGGUGUAGCAGUGAAAUGCGUAGAGAUCGGGAGGAACACCAGUGGCGAAGGCGGAGCCCUUCGUCGGAUCCAAUACGU